GACGAACGCUGGCGGCGUGCUUAACACAUGCAAGUCGAACGAUGAAGCUAGAGCUUGCUCUGGUGAAUUAGUGGCGAACGGGUGAGUAACACGUGAGUAACCUGCCCCGAACUCUGGGAUAACUGCUGGAAACGGUAGCUAAUACUGGAUACGACCUACGAAGGCAUCUUCUGUAGGUGGAAAGAAUUUCGGUUCGGGAUGGACUCGCGGCCUAUCAGCUUGUUGGGGAGGUAAUGGCUCACCAAGGCGACGACGGGUAGCCGGCCUGAGAGGGUGACCGGCCACACUGGGACUGGUACACGGCCCAGACUCCUACGGGAGGCAGCAGUGGGGAAUAUUGCACAAUGGGCGCAAGCCUGAUGCAGCAACGCCGCGUGAGGGAUGACGGCCUUCGGGCUGUAAACCUCUUUUAGUAGGGAAGAAGCGAAAGUGACGGUACCUGCAGAAAAAGCACCGGCUAACUACGUGCCAGCAGCCGCCGUAA
rnacentral:rRNA from 1 species